CAGUCGCCGCGGUAAUACGUAGGUGGCAAGCGUUAUCCGGAAUUAUUGGGCGUAAAGCGCGCGUAGGCGGUCCUUUAAGUCUGAUGUGAAAGCCCACGGCUCAACCGUGGAGGGUCGUUGGAAACUGGAAAACUUGAGUGCAGAAGAGGAAAGUGGAAUUCCAUGUGUAGCGGUGAAAUGCGCAGAGAUAUGGAGGAACACCAGUGGCGAAGGCGACUUUCUGGUCUGUAACUGACGCUGAUGUGCGAAAGCGUGGGGAUCAAACAGGAUUAGAUACCCCGGUAGUCCCUGUCUCUUAUAC
rnacentral:rRNA from 1 species